rnacentral:lncRNA from 1 species
UGACCCAUCUUCCGUGCUUGAAAUCGACGUAGUGGACCCUGGCUAGCAUAUUUUUCCCUGCCAAGAUUAUUGCAAAAAGACGAUGUGGUGGUUAAUAUCGGAAAGAAUGUGUGGUUAAUAUCAGGAAGAACACGUGAAAUGGAGAAUUUCAGGGCUAACAUUUCUUGUUUUGUUUCUGAAAACAUCGGCAUGUCCUAAAAAGUGUCGCCUGUGCCCAUCAUCUCUCAGGCUUGGGAGCAGGACACCGCCGGCUCACUUUAAAGCCAAGGGAAAGAAUUUGGACAACCAACUACGUCUGGAGAAGACACCAAUGUCAGCAGAGCUCCGCUUUCAUCUGUGGGCGAAGGAUUACCUAGAUGCCAAGGCAAGAGACUGAAGACACAAACUGUUUCAGUAUAACAAAGAAAAUAGGCCGGGAGCGGUGGCUCACGCCUGUAAUCCCAGCACUUUGGGAGGCCGAGGCGGGUGGAUCACGAGGUCAGGAGAUCGAGACCAUCCUGGCUAACACGCUACCUAAAAGGGAAGCGCCCCCUGUCCUAUGAUCACGUGACUUGCUUCACCUUGUCAAUCACUUGGAAGAUUCACCCUCCUUACCCUGCCCUCCUUGUCUUGUAUGCAAUAAAUAUCAGUGCGCCCAGCCAUUCGGGGCCACUACUGGUCUCCGUGUCUUGAUGGUAGUGGUCCCCCGGGCCCAGCUGUUCUCUCUUUA